UCGAACUCUCUGAGUAAGAGUUAUCAAUCUUCCGCUUCUGAAUAAAUCACUUCUUUGAAACCAAAGUGAAAGUAAGCAGUUCAAAUCAACAACUUGAUAUUUUUUGGAUUUAGAUCGAGUACAGAAUUUCCACUGGAGUUACAUGAACAGCUGAAGGGACUGUGGACUUCAAUAGAGACACUGAGCAUUCCCAUCAGUUACCUGUACCUGUAGUUACCUGUACAGCCAAGAAGUGGCAGACAAGACUUUGAGUUUCAAUAAGGACAUAAGUUCUGGCAUUUGCACUUUUAUUUGGCCUAAGACCUUCCACUGGAGUUACAGCUGAGAAAGUAGUAGAGAAAACUUAGGACUUAAAUAGAGACACUACGAAUUCCCAUCAAAUACCUGAACAGCUGGGAAGGCGUGGCUGAGAAGACUUUGGAUCCGUCUGG